UUAAAUUUCAAUUUCACAUGAACAACAAAUAAUUUUUAGUAUAAACAUGUGUCAUAUAAUAUUUGGGACAUACUUUUACUAAAAAAAUUGUUAUUUAUCUGAAAUUUAAAUUU
rnacentral:miRNA from 1 species